UUCACCUUUCCUGAUUUUUUCAGAGAUUUCUUUGUGGAACAUCUGCUAUCUUUAAGCAGAUUAGUUGUUUACUUGUCCUACAACUUUCAUUUAAAUGUAAGCUUCAUGAAAGUAGGAGCCCUUUUCAUGAUCUCUGCCAACUAUAUUUUGGAGCGUAGAGUAGCACAUCUUAACUUGAGUAAGUUAUUUGUUGUAUUACAUGAAAAAAAGGAGUGUCUCUGUGACUAGGUUUUACAAUUGUGUGCUUUCCAGCCUAUUCUAUCAUAACAGGCUAGGACAUGUUGAAACAUUUUGUUUUUUAUUUUUAAAAUUUUUAAAAGAUUUAUUUAUUUGGAAAGAGCACACAGGCACGGCACAGGAAAAGGGCAAAGGGAGAGAAUAUCCAAGUAGACUCCCGCUGAGCAUGGAGCCUGACGCCAGGGCUCUAUCCCAUUACUCAUGAGGUUAGAACCUGAGCAGAAACCAAGAGUUGAACAUCUAACCGACUGAGCCACCCUGGUGCUCUGAAACAUUUUGUUUUUUAAAGAUAACAUUUAAAUCUAUGUUUCAAAUUGUGCAGAAGGAGUGAAAAAAAUGUGGCCUUUAAAAAAUCCUGUUCCCUUAAACCCCUGAGGAAAGGUCCCAUGAGGAAAGGGAAUUUGGAAUAGUGACCUUAAAACUUCUUUUAAAAAUGGCAAUUCAUAAUCAGUGGAAAAUUGAAAGUUAAUAGGCUUGGAUUGGAAGUAUUUGGAAAAGCUUCCUCUACUCAUCUUCAUCACCUCACAGCAAGGGCCCCACACAUAAAGUUUGUAAAGGCAGGGAGAGGAGAGCAUGAGGAGAUUGGGGUAGGGAAAGAAAAGGAAUUACCUGAGGAGAUUCAGUACUUAGUACAUUAAAUGGAACAAGAAGGUGCUAAUGAAUUACUGAAAAAUCUGUAUCUUUGCUUCUCAGUAUAGGGAGUAUGGGAAUCUCUUGGAGAGUUGUAAAAAUAUUCCUUAGUUGCAGCCUCAGAAAUCCUGAUUGCAAAACACAGGAAUAUAAAUCAGGGGCACCUAAAUGUUUGCUGGGGAAUUGGUCUGAGCACCACACUUUGGAAUUAAAAAUAGGUGAAUAUGAUUAAGUUUUGUAAAAAAUGUUUCUGAGAGUAGAAGCAGUAUAUUAAUUUUAUAUGUAAAAAUAUUCCUGUUUCUGACUGCUGUGAUUAUCUGAAGGCGGCAACCCCAGAAUGCCUAUUGGCAGCUGCCUGGUACAUACAAAAUAUGUAGAGUUUAAAAGCCUUUUGGGGCAUGCACUGAAUAGUCAACUUGUUUUAUUUCAGAAUCCAAUAGAUUUUAUACUCAGAUGGUUUGUAAUAACAGUAAACUGGUAGCUUCACAUGUGUUAAUUCCAUUAAUCCUCACAGCAGCUCUCUGAGGUCGUGGUACUGUUAAAACCAUUUUACAGAUGAAGAGACUUAGACCCAGAGAGGUUCAGUGAUUUGCCCAAGGUGAUAGAGCUAGUAGGUGGUGGUGAGGAAUGCACAUCUAGGUUGGUCUUAGUCACUCCUCUCAUGAGUGAUAGAAAUUUGAUACCACUUUGAGUGCUUCACCAAGAUGAAGAUACUUUAGGCUUUCCUUAGUCUUCUGGUAGGAUUUCUCAUUUUGUUGUUAAAGAAGUUGUGAUCAUGAAAAAUUUUCUUCUGUUACACCUAAAAUAAUUAAAAGAAAAAAUAAAACAACUGGGGCACCUGGGUGCCUUUAGCUCACAUCAUGAUCCCAGGGUGCUGGGUUCAAGCCCUGUAUUGGGCUCCCUGCUCAGCAGGGGUCUGCUUCUCCCUCUCCUGUCACUCCCCCCUGCUUUUGUUCUCCUUCUUUCCAAUAAAUAAAAUCAAGUUCUAGGAAAGAGGUUUUUUUUUUUUUUUUAAGUUGAAGCUUUUUCAUAAAUUUAAGGAAUUGAAAAAGAUGCAGUUUCUGAUGAAUCGUUAAGUAUUGGUAUUUAAAAAUAAAGGUAUUUGUCAUUAAUGUAUCUAGUGGAAUGUAAUACCAUAAUGAGUGUCUGCCAUGAUUGCUUUAAUAAACAUAAGUAAACAAUUCAUACUUAACUGUUCCUUUUUUCUUCUUGAAAAACUGUUAAUUCCUCCCACAAAAUGUUUACCUAAUAAAUUUUUGCUUGAAGGUCUUAU
rnacentral:lncRNA from 1 species